rnacentral:rRNA from 1 species
GACGAACGCUGGCGGCGUGCCUAAUACAUGCAAGUUGAGCGCUGAAGGUUGGUACUUGUACCAACUGGAUGAGCAGCGAACGGGUGAGUAACGCGUGGGGAAUCUGCCUUUGAGCGUGGGACAACAUUUGGAAACGAAUGCUAAUACCGCAUAAAAACGUUAAACACAAGUUUUAAGUUUGAAAGAUGCAAUUGCAUCACUCAAAGAUGAUCCCGCUUUGUAUUAGCUAGUUGGGAAGGUAAAGGCCCACCAAGGCGAUGAUCCAUAGCCGACCUGAGAGGGGGUCGGCCCCAUCUGGAACUGGACAAGGCCCAAGCUCCUACGGGGAGGAGCAGGAGGGGAUCCUCGGGAAAGGACGAAAGUCUGGACGAGGAAAGCCGGGGGAGGGAAGAAGGGUCUCGGGUCGGAAAAAUCCGUUGGUAGGGGAGAACGAUGGUGGGAGUGGACAGUUCAUAAAGUGACGGUAACUACCCAGAAAGGGACGGCUAACUACGUG